CGCUAUACCAUUUUGGCCAUUUCUUCACUGUUUUCUCACUUUUUGCUCUCAGGUUUCUCUUUAGAGCCCCCCCUACAGCUGCUAUGGUUACUUGUGUCUGACCCCUCCCUCAGUCAGUGUGCCGUUUCCUCUUUCCCUGUUCCUCUGACAUUUUUUUCCGGGCUUUCUGCUUUUUUUUUGCCGGCUCAGCCAUAACAAUAGUGUAAAAAACUCCAUCGUUGCCUUGUUACCCGGUUCCUGAAUGGGCGGCACCCAGGCCCAAAGCUGCCAUGGUGUUUUUUCCGCUCACAGGCGCUAAGGGGGAGCGAGACGACCACCAUUGAACUCAAAAAAAGUCACAAAACCAUUCCAAUGACUCCGAAGCUGUUCAGUUAAGGUAAAAAAACGUAAGUUA